rnacentral:rRNA from 1 species
GACGAACGCUGGCGGCGUGCCUAACACAUGCAAGUCGAGCGGGGAAAGUUCUUCGGAACUUUUCUAGCGGCGGACGGGUGAGUAACGCGUGAGCAAUCUGUCCCAUACAGGGGGAUAACAACUGGAAACAGGUGCUAAUACCGCAUAAGACCACGAGGUCGCAUGGCCAUGGGGUAAAAGGAGCAAUCCGGUUUGGGGUGAGUUCGCGUCCGAUUAGCUAGUUGGUGAGGUAACGGCCCACCAAGGCGACGAUCGGUAGCCGACCUGAGAGGGUGAUCGGCCACAUUGGAACUGAGACACGGUCCAAACUCCUACGGGAGGCAGCAGUGGGGAAUAUUGGGCAAUGGGCGCAAGCCUGACCCAGCAACGCCGCGUGAGUGAAGAAGGUUUUCGGAUUGUAAAGCUCUGUCCUUGGUGACGAAGGAAGUGACGGUAGCCAAGGAGGAAGCCCCGGCUAACUACGUG